rnacentral:rRNA from 1 species
GAUGAACGCUGGCGGCGUGCUUAACACAUGCAAGUCGAACGAACCUUCGGGUUAGUGGCGGACGGGUGAGUAACGCGUGAGAAUCUGCCCUCAGGAGGGGGACAACAGCUGGAAACGGCUGCUAAUACCCCAUAUGCCGCGAGGUGAAAUGAAUUUCGCCUGAGGAUGAGCUCGCGUCUGAUUAGCUAGUUGGUGAGGUAAUGGCUCACCAAGGCAUCGAUCAGUAGCUGGUCUGAGAGGAUGAUCAGCCACACUGGGACUGAGACACGGCCCAGACUCCUACGGGAGGCAGCAGUGGGGAAUUUUCCGCAAUGGGCGAAAGCCCGACGGAGCAACGCCGCGUGAGGGAUGAAGGCCUCUGGGCUGUAAACCUCUUUUAUCAAGGAAGAAGAUCUGACGGUACUUGAUGAAUAAGCCACGGCUAAUUCCGUG